GGGCGCUGGAGAACUGAGGGGGGCUGCUCCUAGUACGAGAGGACCGGAGUGGACGCAUCACUGGUGUUCGGGUUGUCAUGCCAAUGGCACUGCCCGGUAGCUAAAUGCGGAAGAGAUAAGUGCUGAAAGCAUCUAAGCACGAAACUUGCCCCGAGAUGAGUUCUCCCUGACUCCUUGAGAGUCCUGAAGGAACGUUGAAGACGACGACGUUGAUAGGCCGGGUGUGUAAGCGCAGCGAUGCGUUGAGCUAACCGGUACUAAUGAACCGUGAGGCUUAACCUUACAACGCCGAAGGUGUUU
rnacentral:rRNA from 1 species